GCCCUUACCUGUUGAAGCAUCUCUUCAGCAGCAUUGAGUUUCACCUGGUGUCCUUCCAGACACACUUCCAGGUCUCGAAUCUUUUCUCCCUGGGCUUCUACUUGGUCUGUGAGGACACUCACCUGUUCCAGGAAAUAAAGCAAUGGUGGAGGACCAGGGAUUUGACAUGGUGCAGGAAAGCCUCCCCACCUCAGGGGAGCCGUUAAAUCUCACCACUGACUCUUACACACAGUGAACGAUUUUGAUUUUUGCUGAGUGGCAGGUGGAGGAAGUGUCCUGAACGAAGGCAGCUGCAGUUAGAUUCUUACCUUACCAGGGAGUCUCGGCCACUGCUCUGAUGACAUGGGUCACGUUUACUGCUCUUGAUAGACUCAAGAGUAAAACACCCAACAGCCACAGGAGCUGCCUCUGGGCUGGACUCCUGCUCCUUAUUCCUCUUCCAGAACAGCCCCGACCUCAAGGCACAUCUCAGCUGGCUUGCCAGCACUUCUGCAACCUCGUGUGGAAGAGCGGUCCAAACUUCAUGGAAACUAACCAAUGACCUUACCUCUCUCAUAAGGGUGUGAGGACUGCUCACCUAUCAGGAAACCACAAGAUUUCAAAACUACCAUGAGGAGAACCAGAUCACAUGCCACUGAAAAGUGCGCCCUGGAAGUUGGCACAACCACCUCCUGGAUGACCUCACUCCUGGCCAGGAGGGCCUCUGUGAAACUCUAGGCCCAGCAGUGCUUGACUUGACAUGCUGGGUCUGGGUUAGCCAGAGGCACAGCCUCCAGAGGCAUGGCGACAAUGAGGGUCUGCUCUUUGAGGAGAUUGGAGAGCUGGCACCGUUCUCCAAGGGACUACAUGGGAACAGCUUCUGCACAGAUCUUGGUAUCUCCUAAUUCUCAUGCCAGGGUCCCCUGAAGCCAAGGCACACCUUGCUGCAUGGAGGCCCAUCCUGAACAUCACAGUGAGCAUGAAGGAUGGAGGAUGUCAACUACAAGGCCCUUCAUUCACACGUCCCUUCCCACCCCAAUCCCACCCUCCAAUAAGAGCUUUGGUAGCCAGGCUGGCAGAUCACAUUUCCCCAGUGCUAGAGCUGAGAGAAGCAAGCUAAGACAAAACAUCUUGAGAAGAACUUAAAUAAUAGCCAGAGGGAUGCCAGAGCAAAAGCUAAGGAAAUUACAGGUAGCCAGAAACUAUAGAAAAGAGAGGAAAGGGAGAGGAUGUGAAAUGUCAGAGGAGAGGCAGAAUCUUACAAAUGUCCCAAGCAGAGAAAGGAGGUGUCACUUUCUUGGGUGUGUCUGACCUGGUUGUGGGCAGACAGGAGAGAAGGAGCUAAUGUCACCAAGCUGGCCCCAACACCUCCUUCCUCCAUGCAAAUGGAAGACUGAAAUCAGACUGGUCUGCAAUAGGCCACCCAGAGGCUUGGCAGUUUGAAAAAGUAGAUCUGAUUGCUAAAUGUGGAACUGAGUAUUAUACAAUCUGAGCUGGUCCAGUGAAAUCAGCACUUCAAUAUUCACGAGGGAGGUGUCUACCACCCUAGAGGAAAGUCUUAAUUGUGCAAAGAGGCAGAUGUGAGAGACCCAGAGUUGGGCCACCUUGUCCUAGGCCAUUUCCCCACAUUUCAACUUUUAGCAUGGGCUCUCCCACCACCCUCCAUGAGAAAAGGCACCUCCUUCCUCCCCUCAUCCCACCCCUUCCCAAUGCACUGCAUAGGUGAGGGAGGCAACAGAGCCAUGCCCAGUCCUAGAACAGAAAUGUGGACCAAGCAUACCGCAUUCAAACCCUGGAUGCGCACUAGUGAAAGAUUCAUUGAUUGUUUGUUGAAGGUGCAGCCAGAGGACAGGCCCAGGGGCCACUCCCCAGGCCAGCUGUGCCAGGCAGCACCUGCUGCCACACCACUGUCUUCUGCUCCAGCCCCUCUGGAGCCUAUGUCUUGUUCAUUGUUAUGGAAGCUCUUUCAUGCCACAGACAAAGAACCUUAACAAUCACAACUGACUUCUUUGUUAAUGGCAGUUUAUUGUUGUUAAAUUAAUAUUCCGGUUCUCACAUGAUCAAAUUCUCUGACUAGAAUCCAAGAAUAUAUUAUAAUCUAUAUUUUCUCAGAACCAGAGAAGAAAAGGUAGGAGAAUAAUUCUUAAUAGCAGGUCAACUUCUUCUCUGUCAAAGAACUCACAUGAUGGUGAUUUCCAGUGGACAGAGAAUUAAACAGGACCCAGGUGUCCAAGUGAAGCUCUGCAGGUAGAACCCCAGUGCCGAAGUCCACAUGGACACGGAGCCACCUAGCACUGGCAGCCGCCCAUUCUCUGGCAGGAAAUGAAGGAGAGAAGACCAAAGGCAAGACUUCUUCCAGAGACUCCAGCAAGCCACUGUACCAACUAUGCCUUAUUCAAAUGGUGUGCAGUAUAUUCUUCAUUAUAAUAAAAGGUCUACCCAUACAAUCACCCAGAGAGGUAACUAUUUUUACUAGUUGACAAAAAAAAGAGUAAGAAAGUUGAAAUCAUAAAUUCAGUUAAUAAAAUGUAUGACCUAGAUUCUAUAGCACAUGCUAGAAGGGGGAUCAAAAAUCUAGAUCCACGCUAGCAGCCAGUAAAAAAAGAGAGGCACAAUCAGUUAACAGGAUCCGCAGAUCAGUAUGGUAAAAUCAAAUCAAUUGCCUAGGAGAAGCAUAAUUAUUCCGGAGCAAGGGAGAAACUUCACGUUUUCAUAGACAGAUUUUGUGUGAUGGGAUCAGCAAUAUCCAUGACACCCUUAUAGUAAACAGAGCCCAGUAGAACUCAUUACUUUUGUGUGAUGUUCUCAGAAUAGUUCAGAGGCUAGUGGACAAUAUGGGCCAAAGGUGAAAGCAAUUCCAUGGAGACUAAUAUAAUAUGGUCCAGGCACAGUGCUGUAAAUACACAGCAAGCACCUUGUGCUCAACAUGUGCCAGGCACUGUUCAGAGCACUUUGACAUAAUGUUUGAGUUUCUUACAAAAUGUUUCUAUUGAGUAAUUAAAAUAUAUUUGAAAAUCUAGAAGCACUGUUAGAGGACCUAGAACAGUGGUUCCUCAUAUUUGCCCCUCCUAUAACAGAUUCGAGGAGCCAACUCCUUUCCUAGCAGGCAUACUGGUCCAUACAGCAGUGGUGUGCAUGGCAGACAGGUCCCUCCCCCACCCCAAUCACUGUUCUAGAGGAACAGUGCAUCUUCCUCUUCUACAGGUCCUUCAAAAUCACCGUUCUCCAGCAAGCUUUUUAAAGGUAAACAGCAGUGAAAGAUAAUGUUCCAGAUGGAAACCCACAGUAUCACUAUCCUUUGCUUUUGAUGAAGUCAGAGCCAUGUGUUUUCAUGAUCUAUAUAGGACUAGGAUGUUAAAAAAAACUGCGUUCUUCAGAAGGGCAUAGGCCAGGAUCAAAUGCCACCUCUGCCUGGAGAAAAACUUGGAAAGCAUCUGAGAACAGGGCCAAGAAGAGGAUUGUCUUGCUGAAUGCUAAUACUCAUCAGCCUAAGUUGGAAUUUGCUUAAGCACUGAGAGUGCUGGAAGCCAGGAAGCAGUGUGAAGAUGCUGACAGUCUGGGAUUUCUGUUCCUGGGAAAAUGAACUCUUGCCGAAAGAGCAGUGGGUGGGUCCCACAGACCCUGCUCGGAGCUAUUUUUAGAGGUGUGUUCAUGGUUGUGUGGGUUGGAUCCACUGGACUCAAUGUAGAACAGGUGUGAGCUGUUUGUGACUGAGUCCCUCUGGAUACUUGUGGCAAGAGACUACCUUAUCCCUAGGCUUUGUCUGUUAGGAGAAUGAACUAGAGCAUCAGCCCUGAUCAGCCUUCACUCAGCAACCACAGCCAAGCUGGCCAGAUCCAGCAGCCAAUGAGGCCUCUGGUCACCUAUGGUGGCCCAGGUUGCAGCUGCCUUUUCUAGGUCUUCAAUAUGCUUGGUUUGAGACCUUGAUCUGGAGUAUGGGAAGGGUCAUAAAGCUGAAGCACUGAAUGGCCUGAGAGGCAAUUCUAGGAGAGAACCUGGUUCCAUCUGUUCCUCUUUCAACUUCUCCCUUCCUGAUAAUCACCAAUAGCAGUUAAUAGCAAGCAUGUUAUUGAGUAUUUCCUACAUGCAUGAUACUGCACUAAUCGUACUAUCUUACUGAGUCCUCAUAAAGCCUGUAUGUGGUAGGUACUAUUAUCUCCCUUAUUUUAUAGUUAAAGAAAUCCAGACUUUUGAGAUAAUUUACCUUGGAUCACACAGCUGGUAAACGUGGCAAUGCCAGGAUUCUAAUUCAGGCCUCACUCCAGACUCCAUGUUCUUAACUGUAAUAUUAAUAGUAUAUACUAUCCCAUCCCACACAGGCCCUGGAGCAAGAUUUCUUUUCUGAGCAAAUAUUUCCCCUCCAGCUCCAUGCCUCUCUGAACAUAAGUAUCUCCCCUUUGCCCUGAGACACCACCACCUUGGACUGCUCAAAGGGCAAGGGCUCCUGCUCUGGCACCAGGAACCUCUUCUUCCAGAAUCUAUGCCCUCUGUAAAGGAGAAUGAAGACGAUAGUGUUUCUACCUUCAAAAGCAUGAGUUCAGAGAAACCAGCUCUCCACACCACCUCAGCUGAAGCACAGGAGAAAGGGUGGGUGAGCCAUGCAGAUGGGAAGUGCUGCAGACCUGGGCUACAGGAGGUGGGGAGGGAGGGCCAGCAGAGGUUUCCUGGGAAAAGACAGCCUGGAUGGAGUCAGUUGAAGUGGAUGAGAGUUAGAGAGGAGGUGGUCAUCUGUGGUAAAAGCUCAGAAAAGGGAAGAAAUACACUUGGGAGCUCAUCAGGGUAGAUAUAAAAGAUAAAACUAAAAAGGUAAGUUGAGGUUGGGCUGCUAAUGGUCUCAAAGGCCAAGCAAGCCGAAGGGCCUGAUUUUUCUUCCAGAUUAAGGGUGAGUCCAGGGGGGCUCAUCACUGGGGUCACAGGACGAAAGGGAAUUUGUUUUUUUUGUUUUUUUUUUUAAGAAGAUUUUAAAAAUCUGGCAGUAGUGUUUAGGGUAGAGAAUAGUGAAAAUACUCUUAUCACACUGCCAAUGACAUGUCUACACUUUGAGUUUUGCUUUUGUAAAAUGCUCUUUAAAAUUCUAAAAGUAGAAGAAAAAUAUCUGUUUUGCUAUGAGUCAUCCUGGGGGUUUCUAAAGUCUCCUUGCUUAAAGUUUCCCUAAGCAAACUUCCAACUGUCCACAGGAGCCAGCAUACCCUGGGUCUUGGGACAAGAAGGGCCUUCUUACAUUGCAUCACAUGCAAAAUUAGUUCCUCCACACACAUAACUUCUCCUGUAGCAGGCAGAGUUACAGUAUCUGCCCCAGGGGCUGGGACAAGGCUCUGACAAUCCCAGGCACAUGUUGGCUGAAAGGAUUUCUUGAUUAAAAGCUUCAUUUGGGAUACAGGGAAAGAAGGACCAAGUGAUGGUCAGUGCAUUUCUUACAUAUUUCCUUUCAGUAUCUCCCCAGUGGGGCUUAAAAAAAAAACCUAAGAUGAUGCAAACCUUUGCCAAAACGUCUGGUCAUCUCAGCAUGCUUUCUGGUGACUGUGAUGCCCUAGGGGCUGGGCACAGACAGGAUUUCUGCUGGGUUCUAAAGCAAUAAUUUUAUACAUAUUUGGCAGAGAAAAUGAAUAAAGAGAACUAGACUGGGAGAUAGAGAACAGGGUUCAAGACCAGGCUGCACCACUAAUAGCUAUGACACUAAUACCAUGAGGUUCUUAGCCCCUCUUGGGCUUUGUUAAAUGAGGGGUUUGUACUAUCCCAUCCCUCCAAGCCCUCCAGCCCUAUAAUUGUGUUCAGUUGCCUCACUUUUCCCAACAUAGCUUACCAUAUACCACAUCACAGCUAGAGUAAUUUUCUUAAAAUACAAACUAGACCCCCCCCAAUGUAUCCCAUGUCACUUCCCUGCUACAAGUCCCCCAGCACACAAACCAGGUUGCCCAAAAGCCUUACCGUGGCCUUCACUGUCCUGCGUGAUCCCAGC